CCGAUGGGUUUGGUAGAUAAGGUUAAAUUUGUGGUAGAGAACAAUUUUGAACGCCUCACUUAUACAGAAGCGGUAGAUAUACUUAUUAAAUCCAAACCUAACCAGAAAGGCCAGUUUGCUUAUCCAGUAAGCUGGGGCACCGAUCUUCAAUCAGAACAUGAGCGCUACCUGGUAGAAAAACAUUUCAAAAAGCCUGUUAUCCUGAUCAACUAUCCCAA
rnacentral:misc_RNA from 1 species